UACGUAGGGUGCAAGCGUUAAUCGGAAUUACUGGGCGUAAAGCGUGCGCAGGCGGUUUUGUAAGUCUGACGUGAAAUCCCCAGGCUCAACCUGGGAAUUGCGUUGGAGACUGCAAGGCUAGAAUCUGGCAGAGGGGGGUAGAAUUCCACGUGUAGCAGUGAAAUGCGUAGAGAUGUGGAGGAACACCGAUGGCGAAGGCAGCCCCCUGGGUCAAGAUUGACGCUCAUGCACGAAAGCGUGGGGAGCAAACAGG
rnacentral:rRNA from 1 species